rnacentral:piRNA from 1 species
UGGUCCUAGUGAAGAGGAAGGCCUGU